rnacentral:sRNA from 1 species
CCCUAGCCCCGAUUGCAGCGGCAUCCUUUUGCCGGCGCGAGCAAGGCAAAAGAUACAGCGUAAAGCGGGAAAUAGC